rnacentral:lncRNA from 1 species
AUCUCUAUCUUCAAAAUGAAGAAUAUUAACAAGACUGUGGCAUAUGGCUUAACAAACACAAGUUUAAAAACGCUGGUUUCAUCUUUUUCUAAAGGACAACAGAUGCAGGAGUUAAGCUCAGUAGCUCCUGGUGGUGCUUUCAAAAGUAUUUCAGAACAAAAGAAGAAAACUGUAGUUUGCAGAAAGGAAAAACCCUCAACAAAUAAACUCAAGAGGAGCCACAAACAGAAAAAGAUUAAAGUCACCCCCAAAUGGUACAGAGGGAGGCACAUCCAUGGAUAUUCCCAGUUGAAAGUGAACCGGCUGAGCAAGAGGCCCUGUUUUCCCAACAGAGCACUGGAUGCUUUGAGAAAGGGCUGUUCAUCACAGCCCCCCAAAUUCAAUAAGCAUAAGAAGUGCCAUUCUCCUCAACUGAAGGUGCAAGAGAGUUACCUACACCAGCAAAAUUCCACCUCAGAUAAACCACUUUGCAGAAGGAAAAAAGAAGGAAAGAAUAACUCAGGAAUAUCUUCCCAUACUGAAAACCUAAACCAUGUUAAACAAAGAGACAAAACGGAUAAAAAAGUAGGUAUUGUACCUUAAUUCCUAUAUUAAUAUCUAUUAAAAUAAAAAAAAAAAAG